rnacentral:rRNA from 1 species
GAUGAACGCUGGCGGCGUGCCUAAUACAUGCGAGUCGAGCGAACAGACGAGGAGCUUGCUCCUCUGAUGUUAGCGGCGGACGGGUGAGUAACACGUGGAUAACCUACCUAUAAGACUGGGAUAACUUCGGGAAACCGGAGCUAAUACCGGAUAACAUGUUGAACCGCAUGGUUCAACAGUGAAAGACGGUCUUGCUGUCACUUAUAGAUGGAUCCGCGCCGCAUUAGCUAGUUGGUAAGGUAACGGCUUACCAAGGCAACGAUGCGUAGCCGACCUGAGAGGGUGAUCGGCCACACUGGAACUGAGACACGGUCCAGACUCCUACGGGAGGCGGCAGUAGGGAAUCUUCCGCAAUGGGCGAAAGCCUGACGGAGCAACGCCGCGUGAGUGAAGAAGGUCUUCGGAUCGUAAAACUCUGUUAUUAGGGAAGAACAAAUGUGUAAGUAACUAUGCACGUCUUGACGGUACCUAAUCAGAAAGCCACGGCUAACUACGUG